UACGUAGGGGGCUAGCGUUGUCCGGAAUCAUUGGGCGUAAAGCGCGCGUAGGUGGCCCGGUAAGUCCGCUGUGAAAGUCACAGGCUCAACCUGUGAAAGCGGGUGGAUACUGCCGGGCUAGAGUCCGGAAGAGGCGAGUGGAAUUCCUGGUGUAGCGGUGGAAUGCGCAGAUAUCAGGAGGAACACCAACGGCGAAGGCAGCUCGCUGGGACGGUACUGACACUGAGGCGCGAAAGCGUGGGGAGCGAACAGG
rnacentral:rRNA from 1 species